AGAGGCAUUAAAAAACCCCACAAGCCCGACCCCGUCUGAUCUUGGAAGCUAAGGAGGGUCAGGCCUGGUUAGUACUUGGAUGGGAGACCACCUAGGAAGACCAGGUGCUGUCGGCG
rnacentral:rRNA from 1 species